rnacentral:rRNA from 1 species
GGGGAAUUUUGGACAAUGGGCGAAAGCCUGAUCCAGCAAUGCCGCGUGUGUGAAGAAGGCCUUCGGGUUGUAAAGCACUUUUGUCCGGAAAGAAAUCCUUGGCUCUAAUACAGUCGGGGGAUGACGGUACCGGAAGAAUAAGCACCGGCUAACUACGUGCCAGCAGCCGCGGUAAUACGUAGGGUGCGAGCGUUAAUCGGAAUUACUGGGCGUAAAGCGUGCGCAGGCGGUUUGCUAAGACCGAUGUGAAGUCCCCGGGCUCAACCUGGGAACUGCAUUGGUGACUGGCAGGCUAGAGUAUGGCAGAGGGGGGUAGAAUUCCACGUGUAGCAGUGAAAUGCGUAGAGAUGUGGAGGAAUACCGAUGGCGAAGGCAGCCCACUGGGCCAAGACUGACGCUCAUGCACGAAAGCGUGGGGAGCAAAC